rnacentral:misc_RNA from 1 species
UAGCAUUAGUAAGACUUCCCAUGUAAAUAUAGUUUCUCUUCUUGGGUUCUGCUUUGAGGGCGAUAAACGAGCACUUAUUUAUGAGUUCAUGGCUAAUGGUUCACUUGAAAACCUCAUAUACAAUGGAAUUACUUGGAAAGCUGGUUGCUGCCUAAAGUGGGAAAAUUUGUAUGAAAUUGCAAUUGGAAUAGCCAGAGGGCUUGAG